GGCCAGCCAGAGAAGUGGCCACCUGUUUGUUGAAAAUUGGGUUUCUGGGAAAGCUGCUGCACAGGUGUGUGGCAAGGUGUGUCUGAGGAAGCUUGACCUGCUUUCACCUGGAAUGAUUUGCUCUGGCAGUGGAGUUCGUAGUCAUCCUGGUUUUAUGGCAGUCAGUGGCACAGGAAGUUGAUCUGUGUGUUCUGGGGAAUUCCAACAAGCCUCUGUCACAGUUCACUAGCAUUCUCAGUAUUUGGGGGCUGACUGGUGUACAUUUGGGGGCUGACUGGUGUACAAUUGAGACAUCAGCAAGUGCAGGACAUGGACUGACAGAAGAAGCAGAUCCUAUCUGACUCCUGUACGGGAUGAGGAAGCAGAGUCUUUACGGAAAGCACGCUCCAGACAAGCUCGGCAGACUCGAAGGUCUACUCAAGGUGUUACCCUAACGGACCUUCAAGAAGCAGAAAGGACUUUCAGCCGGUCAAGGGCAGAGAGGCAAGCUCAGGAGCAGCUUAGUGAGAAGCCCAUAGACACUGAAGGUCUUGAGGGGAGCACUGAAAAGUGUGAGCCUUCAGCUGUCCCAGCAAAGGAAG